rnacentral:rRNA from 1 species
GACGAAACGCUGGCGGCGUGCCUAAUACAUGCAAGUCGAACGCUUCUUUUUUCCACCGGAGCUUGCUCCACCGGAAAAAGAGGAGUGGCGAACGGGUGAGUAACACGUGGGUAAACCUGCCCACCAGAAGGGGAUAACACUUGGAAACAGGUGCUAAUACCGUAUAACAAUCGAAACCGCAUGGUUUUUGAUUUUGAAAGGCGCUUUUCGGGGUGUCGCUGAUGGAUGGACCCGCGGUGCAUUAGCUAGUUGGUGAGGUAACGGCUCACCAAGGCGACGAUGCAUAGCCGACCUGAGAGGGUGAUCGGCCACAUUGGGACUGAGACACGGCCCAAACUCCUACGGGAGGCAGGCAGUAGGGAAUCUUCGGCAAUGGACGAAAGUCUGACCGAGCAGCGCCGCGUGAGUGAAAGAAGG